rnacentral:rRNA from 1 species
AUUGAACGCUGGCGGCAUGCUUUACACAUGCAAGUCGGACGGCAGCACAGAGAAGCUUGCUUCUUGGGUGGCGAGUGGCGAACGGGUGAGUAACAUAUCGGAACGUACCGAGCAGUGGGGGAUAACUGAUCGAAAGAUUAGCUAAUACCGCAUAUAUUCUGAGGAAGAAAGCAGGGGACCAUUUGGCCUUGCGCUGUUUGAGCGGCCGAUAUCUGAUUAGCUAGUUGGUGGGGUAAAGGCCUACCAAGGCGACGAUCAGUAGCGGGUCUGAGAGGAUGAUCCGCCACACUGGGACUGAGACACGGCCCAGACUCCUACGGGAGGCAGCAGUGGGGAAUUUUGGACAAUGGGCGCAAGCCUGAUCCAGCCAUGCCGCGUGUCUGAAGAAGGCCUUCGGGUUGUAAAGGACUUUUGUCAGGGAAGAAAAGGGUGGGGUUAAUACCCCUGUCUGAUGACGUACCUGAAGAAUAAG